CAGUUAAUUUCACUAGGAAUCACCAUCACCUAUGAAAGUUGGUCAUUUAAUUACCAACACGUUUUGUAUACUUUAAACAAUUUUUAUGAGGACCUUCCCCCUGUUUCCAUGAUAUCUUAAUUUCUUUUUUUUUUUUUUGUAACUUUUUAAAACACCUUUAGAAAUGAAAAUACACUAUCAGCUGGAUCCACCUUACCCCUCUUUCUGUUGACUCCUUCAAAGAACUAUACCAGGCUGUAAAGUAUGAUUUCCCUUUACAAAAUGUCAUGGACUCUUUCCCAUUAUAUUUUAUUUAUCCAUGGAUUCUCUUUUCUAUUACAAUUUCUAUCAAUUAGCCUAGUACAGAUGGGCUACCAGCCUGUAGUUUCUGAAUCUAGCGUGGUAUCCUCUUUAAAAAAAUGAGACCACAUUAGCUAUCUUCAAGUGUCUUGACAUUGAGACAGUUUUACAUUUCAGCUUGCACACCAAUUGUUAAUUCAACAGUUUCACAGUGGAGUUUCUCAGGUGCUCUUGGGAGAAUAUCCUUUGGUCUUGGUGAUUUCUUAUAAUACCUUUUGAUAUACUUCAUGACCUCCUUCAAUAUAAGAGAGAUCCUCUGAUGUGUCCCCUGUGCUGGAGUCUCCUCGACUUCUUCCAUAGUAAAAACAGCUGCAAAAAUUGUAUUAUUUUUUCUGCAAUGCACUUAUUUUUCUAAACCUUGAUUGUCCCUUUGUAUUUUUAGUACUCUUUUUGCCUCUGUGUUUAGUCAUGCUGGCUUCCCUUGGUCUUUCUGAAAUGCUUUUGGCUAGUGGUAUGCAUUUGUUCAAAGCCCCAAUGUGGUAUCUUGAGUUUUUACACCAUACCCAAGGAUUUUACUUUUCUAACCUUCUUUUAUUCUCUCUUUAAACAGGAGAGAUAAUAAAGAAGAAUUUUAAUUUAGUGCCCCUUUUUGAAGCUAAACAUACUGCAGUAAAUUUCUUUUUUUUUCUUUUUUUCUGAAAGUCCAACAUAGGUGCUGAAUAUGAGCACUUCAUGACAACUAUUACAGAUGGCUUUCUACAAUAACAUUUCAGUCAGGUACUGUGCAUUGGUUGUGCUGGAUGCAACCAAGUUAAGAAUUGGUUUUACUCUUGCAGAUUCUUUGAGUAAUUUUUCUGUUUGACAUGGCAUCGUGCUGUAAUGUGACAUUUAUCCAAUACACUUGAGUGAAUAAAGCUGAAAGAGAACAGUACCAAUAUCAGUUUAUUGGUUUCUUUGAGUCUAAUGCCAUUCACUGUGAGGCUAGCUUAGAAUAAGAAGAAAAUGACCUCUGGCUUCUGAUAAUAAGACAUGCUUGUGGCUGUGAAAAAAAUAGGGCCUUCUAGCAUGUAGCAGUUGCCAUUAGCAAACAGGUACUUCUUUUUCAUGAUCCAGGAAAGCUAUGGCCAGCAUUCCUGAGGAUUGAAAGCUGAACAAAAUAGUUACAAGUCCGUAAGUCCUUGUCUGAUUCCAUUUUUGACAUAAAAUUCCUUUGAAAUAAAUCCUUUUUCCAUUACACAAGCUUGACUGUUAUGAAAAGAGUAGGUGGGGUUACAAAAAUAUCUGUCAGGACAGCUCAGUGCAGAAUAAAUAUGAAACAAAUAAAUACAAUCAGCAAAAUAAAAACAACAAGCAAGACAGCUUCCAUACUCCAUUUUCCUCCAGUAGAGUGGCAAGUGAGUCAUGUAAGAACUCAUAUUGCCCAUUUCAUUUAUUACUCUAGGCUGACCCAUAUACUGCUUUACAAGCUUUCCUAUUUAUUUAUUUAUUUAUUUAUUUAUUUUACUUUAAGCUCCUUGCCCUUACUGUACUGUUUGGAAAGUCACUCCAUGAGAUAAUGCCUUAGAUGUUUUAGUUUGUUUCUGCCUUACAGUCUAAAUUUAUUUAUGACAGCUUCAAUCUUAUUAUUCUCUAGCUUACAUAUUCUUGUAUAGCUUGUUAUUUACUUACCCAGUAUAUUUUAAAGAAUCAUAUCAAUUCUGAGCCAUCGUUUUGCUAGGUUAAAUAGGUCUAGGAACUUUUUAAGUCAUUGGAGCCAGAGCCAACACAGCAAUGUCUAAAAGCGAGUGGGAUUUUUAUUCUGCUGUAUGUCACAGAAGUGGUAUCAGACCACUGAACUUCAUAUAGGAGUCACAUGGCUAACAGUCUAAAUAAUAGCAAUUCUGUACUGGUUCUUUAUUAUCCUUGAGUGUCCUCCAGUUAUGCAUUAAAAAAUGGGACCCACAAUUUCUAACCCUUUGUUUUAUAAUUCUAUCAAAAAGGACUUGAUGUUAUUUAAUUGAUUUGUUUUCCUGUGAAAAUCAAGUGUCAUUACCUUUAAUGUCAUUUAUAGUGAUAGAUGGCAGACAGCCCUGCUUACAAUCGGUAUCUUGAGACAGUAAUUUAACCAUUAGGUGCUGUACAGACAUAAAAGAUGGCAUUGCCUCUGCCUUGGGUGUUUGCACAGUUAUACAUCCUCCCUCUGCCACUGCAGGCUGACCCUUCUGCUAUGGCUGAAGGGUCUUAAAGCUGAGAUACUGCUCUCCUGUUCUUGUACCUGAGACCAAAUAAUUCAUUUAGCUGUAAGUCAGUCUAACAAUUCAUUUCUUGCUGUAAAGCUUCCUGGGAGAUGAGUGCACCUCUGAGUGCUCAGGAAUUCUUUGUGUCCUGGGAGAUUCCAUUUCAAAUGAGCCUUUGCAAGGCUCAGAAUGAGUUCAGCCUGCAGUCUGGCAUGAACUGUGGAUACAUUUAAAGCUCAAAGCAUCACACAAAUAAAGAAGGAAAAUGGGAUUUUGAUACUACCAGCACAAGGAGGAUCCCUGAAUUCCUAAUUUCUGUGGUGUCCUAGCAUCCCUUUUUUAUUCCUACCAUCUCUUCCUCCUCUCUUUCCCCUACUCCUCUGCCCACCCUUCCUCCCCUUGCUACAGUCUGGAUGGGAUGCUGUCCAUCAGGCAGAAUUAUUUAUGAGAGUUCUGCAAAUGUAGAUGUACUGUUUCCAGCUAAUAGAACUCAAAUCACUUGCACUGCACCAUUAGAGAGGAAACCUACCCAAGUAAAUUAUAUACAGGCCAUAAAUGGAAGCAGUUGUAGUGUUUUUAUGAGUCUAUAAAACUCUGGAAGUUUAUUGCUAUUGAACAAACAUGUAAUCUGAUUCUUAAAGCUGAAUAUUAGAAACCAAUAAGGUCCAAAACCUUCAUUUACCUUCAGAUCUAUUACCAUGCUGAUCAUACCAUGGAAAUUAUUUUUCAGUAGCAAGUUUUGAGAACCAUUAAUAAAUCCAGGACUACUUUCUAGAAUAUCUAUCAGCUGCCCAAAACAUGGGGCAAUAUCAAAAUUCAGUGGAGCAAAGAAGUUGCUCCAGCUUAGUAUGCUCUUGUCUCUAAAGAGGUCCUUUGAGGACUUCAGUGAAGAGCUGAAAAGCAAUUGAAAGGUAUUUUGAACUUCUUAAAUUCAGUCUUCUGCAGACUGCUGCCUGUGAAGAAGUGAAAGCACAAAGUUUUUUUUUUUUCUGUUUCAUGAAGAACAUGCUGAUAAAACAUGGCAUAAACAAGCAAACCCAGGCCAAGAUGGAAUAUUUGAAAUUGGGGUUGUUGACCUGACUUGCAAGUGUUUGUAAGCCAUUGUCAGUGCAGCUGAUUUUUCUAAGUUUUGGUGAGAUUCAUCUGAAUAAAAAUGUAUGCGCAGCUGUGCACUGAGCUGAGCUAUGCCCUGUGGUGAUUAGUGGUUCAUCAGUUCUGUGGAGGCAGGAAAGUUAUGUGUGAUCAAACCUCUGAUUCAUGAUUUCUUUUCUUCAUGCUUCUGCCCCAUAUUGUUAUUUUUACAUGCACUGUUUCCAUUUGAAGACAGUCUGGCCUUUCAGUAGGGUGAGCUAGUAGGAAGAUGUUUGAACUGCUCCAUGUCUCUGUUUUCUCUCUUUUUCAGGGAUAUUCAAGGCUUGUGACACUUUGUUUUUGUUCUCAUGGCCUACAGUUUUGUGCCAGCAAGGCUGCAUCUCUGGGAGCAGAGGGAGCAGGUACAGCUCUCAGGGAGCAUCUCUGAAGGUUUAGAGGAGAACCUCUGGGCUGCCAGCUGUGGAUAAUGUCCCCUCUGUCAGACCAGUUCUUUGUGUCUGGGAAACUUUGCUCCUGUAGUGCCCCACUGCUCUGGAACCAGCAUACCUUUCCAGAUGCAUCUUGCUUUGGUAGGACAAAUGCAUAUCAGCCAAGGGAAUGAGAAUAAAUCAUUGCAAACCCUUGCUGGGGGAGGAUUCAGAAAAGAAAGGGUAGGGACAGCCUUCCUGCGCUGUUCCAGCGUCUGUUCUGGAGGGAUCGGAACACCCUAAGCCCUUUGUUCAAUCAUGAAGAGCAGGGGGGGCCAAAAUUUGGUUUUCUGGUUACAGGUUUAUUCCUAAGGCCUUCCUACAGCAGCCUGGACGCCUGGUGAAUAUAUGGAAAAGCUGAAUGUCUGCUGUGACGUGGCCCUUUACACAAAGUGUGCUGGAGUGAUGGUUGGCAUGAACAAGAUGCAUCCUGGAGAACCCUCCAAGCUCCCCUGCAGAGCUGACUCUGUGGCUGGCCACUUGCAUCUGUAUCUGGAGAGUCAAAAAUCUCUCUCAAGAUGAAAAAUUUCUAACUCAUUGUGCAUUAUGAAAUGCACAUGGCAGCAGCUGUUAAGCCUAAUGAAACCCACAGCAGGGAAGAAAACAAAGUAUCACCUACAAAAAGAACAAGCAGGGAAUGUGGACAGAUAAUUGAUAAAUACUCCUCUGAACCUCCCCCUGAAGUUAGGUAUGUUUACUGUUAGGAGCCCAUCUGACCAGUGACACUGCUGCUGCUGAACUGGGAACCCAGGGCACUGCGAAAGGUACAGACACUCUGAAGAGAUGGCUGUGAGGAAGAGGUCAUAGCACUGCAGGAUGGGUCCUUCCUCCAGCCCUGCUACCACUCCAGAAACUUCUCCAAGUGUAAAAAUCGCAAUUGCCACCAAGGACCUCUGAGAAGUCUCUUUUUUUCACCAGGUCUGAGGUGUGUUACCUUUGGUCCUGCAGGCUGGGACUGUGCCCUGCCAUCCUCACCCCACACUACUGCAGGCUCUGGGCUAAAAAUGAGCAAAGCCUGGAUCUUAUUUCACUCCAACUCUGCACGGAGGUCUUGGGAAUCUGCCUUCCCCAUCCCUGUUCUCUCUGUGCCAAGUGAUUUAUGGUCUGCUGGUGAGCAGAACAUGAUUGUAAACAGCCCAGCCCCUUUCUAAAACUGACAGCCUUUCUGACCACCAGGGAGCUGUUUCUUUUUAACUACACAUCACAAUGUCUUUAGCAAACAUCUCGAUUUUCACUCAUAGCAUUCAGUACUGAUGUAUCAAUAGACUUGUCCUACAUGUGGUUGGACAGUCCUUCUGCUUGCCAAAGUGCUGCUUGGGCUCCAGAUCUUCAAUUACUAAAUUACUUUGUGCCUUCAGACUACUUUUGGAGGUCCUCCUUUCCCAAAUCUCUGGAUGACUCUCAUUGCAUAGUGCAACACUGUCUUUAAAGGAACUGAGGAGGUGGAGAUGGUUCAUUACCUUGAACGUUAAAAUGAUUCAGGUCCUUCCAUGGCUUCUAGCUGAGACUCAGGAGAGGCCAGCAUUGUGCAAGAAAGAAUGGAAGAAAAGAUUUCCUGCCAGUCACCCAAGCAGCAAAGUUAUUCAAUAUCUAAUAUUUGCUUAAUGACAGUCAAAUCCUGCCUGAAAUGGCAGAGGUGUCAUUAUAAACUGUCUCUAGUCCUCCCUUCUUGGAAGCUCUUCCUUCUGUACAUACAGCUUGCUCAUGAAAGGCUAGAAGCUGGUGGAUCUUUCCCACAUCGUGCUUAACUGUCUGCUCUGAGGGUUUUGAGCUUCUACACAAGCAUCAGUGCCCUUUCAAGCCUGUGGACCACCUCCUUACUUCAUCACAGACCCAACCUCACUUGACAAUCUGACAGAAUGUUGAAGUUGCUGCCACGGGAGAAACUGCAGGGAAAGCAAUGAAAUCUGGUGAUGAAUUAUAUAUGGAGAAGUAUCAAAUACCAGAAUGUGAUUCAGCUCUCCAGAAUGAGAAUUCCUCUGCUUCUCCCUAAUUUGAGACCCAUCAGCCUAAAUACACCACCUGUCCCACCUAAUUGAUGCACAAAUCUGUGAUGAGGAGGUUUGUGCUCUGACAAGUAGCACUGCAGCUUUGUAAUUCUGCUUGCUUUGCAGCAGCUUGAGAUCCUGGACCAAUUUUCUGGUAGUAGUAAAAGGAUCAAAAGAAGGUACAAACUGGAUUCUUCAGAAAAUUUUAGCCCAUCACUCUCAGCAUCAUACAGUUCCUUACAGGUACACGUUAAAAACAAAAUCUUCCUCUUGUUUUCAUGGAGGUAAAUUUUUGGCAUAAAGCAGUAUGAAAACAUACUGAAAGCCUCUGAGGUUGAAUGUGACAUGCUUCACAGUAGGAUCUACACUCCCUGGGGAGAGAAACCAGUGCAAAACAAAGCAAGAGGAAGUCCUAAAAAGGAUAUUUGCCAAAGUAAAAGCAGGCAACUUCCUGUACAAAAUAUGUUUGUUCAUAGGCCACAAUGAUAAAGUAGGUUUGAUCUCUGCCUGCAGCUCAUCUUAAAUUGGAAAUGAAUAUCCCUAGACAUUUGUAUGAGUAUAUUAAAAGCAAACCAAACCCCAAACCCAACAUGACUCUUUGGGAUAUAGGAAGAGUGGUAGCAUGGGAAGUGUGGCAUAGCUUUGUUCAGAGUUUUUGCAAAAGUAUGCAUGCUUAAUAAAUGUGAGUCACAAAGUACACAGUUAAUGGUUCAAUUGUCUGUGAAUAUUUCAUAAAAUUGUUAUUUGAAAAAUAUUUGUUAGUGCCAAGAUUGUUAUGUGAAUUAGUACACUGAUUAAUGAGCUGGCUGAACAAAGAUCUGACAAUUUGAGACUAUCCAUUUAGAAACCACGAGUGCAGGUCAUGAUGAGCAGAUAGGCAGGAGUAGGGGAAGGAAAAAGGGGGAACUUGUGAAAUAUUAAGUAUGAAAAGGACUUGGGAGUCUGAUGGAAACAUAUGGAAUGUGAAUGUCCAAUGGUAUACAAAAGCAACAUUUACCCAGGAUCUGGAUUUUAUUCUGAAGAUAUGUUUCCAUCUCCGUGAGUAAUUGGAGAAAUAGUUGCCAGAAGGUAUACUUUAUCUUCUGAGCAGGCUGCCUUCAUGGCGUACAUACUGGGGCUGUUUUUGUAUAGGCAUCUUUCAAUGAUCCCUGGGCUCGAACUCUACAGUCUUAUGUCCAUACCUAAUAAUUUCUUAUGGUUAUGCACAUCCAGACAGUACAUGAUACUCUAGUGUUAAAAAUCAGCUUUCCUUCCAUUUCUAGCUCUGCAAUAAAUAACUGUUAAGUGAGUCUAGUAGCCCCUUGAAGUAGUAGAAGAGAUCAAAUAUGUACAAAAUAGUUUAAUAUAACAAGCCCUUCUCAAAAGAAAAAAAUAAAAUAUGCAAUCCUUGCAGAUGAUGGAUUCAGCUUCUUUGAAAUGAUAUGAUUUACAAUUAUUUUUGCUCACUACCUGCAGCAGUCUCUGACUUUGGCUUUAUGUUUGAGUGGCUUUCCUGGAGACAAGACAUGACCACAAGAUGGUUCUGCUCAGAGUAGUAGCUGCUGCAGGUGCAGAAGAGUCUAAAAAGAGAGGAAACAUAAUGAUACUUCCCCAAUAUCUCCUUGUAGCUUCCAGUGACUUGCAGCACAAGGACCCCAUGAGAGAAGAUGGUAUCCCUGUGUUUAAUGGUUUGGGAUAGUUUUUUCAUCAGUGGAUUUUUCUGAGGAUUCGCGUCCAAUUUUAGCCUUUGCUGCAUUUGGUGAUGGUGAAUUAUCUUCUGUUGGUUUAGUUUGCCACCAUCUAUGCUAGUCCAAUGCCCCUUGUUUCCUGUACUAUAUGAGUUAUUUACCCUCUCUAGUCCACUCCCAAAUCUCAUUAUUUUCCCCUCACUUUUUUUUUUAUAUAAAUGAAGAGAUCUAAUGUGCUUCUUAUUCCAGACUUCUGAUCAUAUACGUUGCCUUGUCCCUGACCCUUUUCCAGCACUACUCCAUCCUUUUUGAGAUGCUGACUCAGUGUUGAGGAUGGGAUGCAGAUACACCAGUGAUGUAUGCAAUGACAAAACUCUCUUUUCAGUUUUGCCCUUUUUUCCUUCCUUAAUACAUUCCAACAUCAAUUUCCUUUAUCUCUGAGUUGAUAUUUUCAUGAGACCAUGUGUUAUAAAACACCAAAUCUCUUCAUCCACUAUGUCUUCAAGAACUCUUUCCUGAGCAGUAAUAGCUAUCUGAAAACCUAUCAUUAUGGAUGUAAAUGUAGGGUUUUUCUCCUCAUGUUGCAUAAUUCUAUGUUUAUCUAUGCCAAAUUUCAA